UGGCGGACGGGUGAGUAAUGUCUGGGAAACUGCCCGAUGGAGGGGGAUAACUACUGGAAACGGUAGCUAAUACCGCAUAACGUCGCAAGACCAAAGAGGGGGACCUCCGGGCCUCGCGCCAUCAGAUGAACCCAUAUGGGAUUAGCUUGUAGGUAAGGUAACGGCUUACCUAGGCGACGAUCCCUAGCUGGCCUGAGAGGAUGAUCAGCCACACUGGAACUGAGACACGGUCCAG
rnacentral:rRNA from 1 species